rnacentral:rRNA from 1 species
GAUGAACGCUAGCUACAGGCUUAACACAUGCAAGUCGAGGGGUAGCAGGGUAGCAAUACCGCUGACGACCGGCGCACGGGUGAGUAACACGUAUCCAACCUUCCCACAACUCAGGAAUAGCCUUUCGAAAGAAAGAUUAAUACCUGAUAGCACUUAAGAAAGGCAUCUUUUUUAAGUUAAAGAUUUAUCGGUUAUGGAUGGGGAUGCGUUCCAUUAGAUAGUUGGUGAGGUAACGGCUCACCAAGUCUUCGAUGGAUAGGGGUUCUGAGAGGAAGGUCCCCCACAUUGGUACUGAGACACGGACCAAACUCCUACGGGAGGCAGCAGUGAGGAAUAUUGGUCAAUGGGCGAGAGCCUGAACCAGCCAAGUAGCGUGAAGGAUGAAGGUCCUAUGGAUUGUAAACUUCUUUUAUAGUAGAAUAAAGUGAGCCACGUGUGGUUUUUUGUAUGUAUACUAUGAAUAAGGAUCGGCUAACUCCGUGCCAGCCGCCGCGGUAAAAC